GGCACCGGGGAGAGGGCAGAAGGGGAUUGUUCCUGCAAGGCGCUGGGAUGCGGUGGGACACCCUGGCCCGCUGGCUUGAGGAUUCUCCUCCUCAGUGCGAGGGCCGGUUCUCAGACUCCAGCCAAGGGGGUCUCCAGCGCUGGCAUCCCGCCCUUUCACCUCGCUCCCUGUCACUUCGGAUGGCUCCUCGUGGUCUAAUCACGGAGUCUCUCCCACACCCGCCCGGGAGCUGUGUUUGCUGACAAGGGGUGAACUUCGGGGCUACUCAAACAGCCGGUUUGCCCAAGGAUGUAGCCCUCUGGCUGGAGACAGUCCCUCGAAACCACCCAAACGGCUUGGGAGCGAAGAGCAGGCUGGGCCAAGCCUCUCAGUCCCAACCCACACCCUCCCCAGCGGUUCCAGCCCUGGGUUCCCCGAUUCACAGCUCUGCCGCUCCCUCUCGAUCCAGAGCUCCGCACCGCUCCUGGGGCUCAGGCAGGAGGCACCUACUGCAGCUCAACUGGUAAAGCUGCUCCCUGCAGAUGCUGUCAGGAUCCCCCUUCUGGUCUCAGCCGCAGUAACAUGCAGGGCUCAGCCCAGCUGCUGCAGGGACCCCUCUGCUCGUAAAGUCUGUUCCAGGCAAGCCCCCUCGCAACGUAGGGAGGUGGGCAGGAGAGAUGCGGUCAGCUCUGCAUCUUCCCCAGCAUCCUGACAAGCCCUGACAGAGCAGCAUGUCCCCCCGCAUCACGAGCUGACUCCAGACUCAGCCCUCCCCUUCCCUUAAACCAGACAAGAAAGAGAGACACGGGACACGAAGGGUCAAAGAACUUACAAGUGGAAGGGCUUCCUCUUCCAGGCACAUUGCUAAGAACUAAAGUGUGGACGGAGGCAGAGAACAGGUGAACUGAGCUGAUGGUUGCUUUCCUGGCCAGGACGGUAACAGCAGCGUUCAGAGAGUAUUGGAUGCUGAGCAAGGAGUCUCCCGCCUUUCCCCUCCCCCAGCUGGGCCAGGGCUCACGCUGUUGGAGUGGUUGGCUUGGCAAGCCCAUUUUCCCAGGGCAGGACACCUGGCUCAGUGGGUGAACUCUCUGCUCCCCAGCCUUACGGACGUCAGGGCAGGUGGAACAGACUGUGCUUUGGGUGGAAGAAGAGGUCUGCACGGCUGGGAGCAGAAUGAGUGAAAAGGAGAGGAAGGGCGACCCAGGAGAACCAGCAGGGGGGUUCAUGGUAACACUUGGACAAUCUGAUCUCCAAAUCCCUGGCAGGUACCCACCCUACAGGGCCCCUCUGUUCAUGCCCUAUCUCCCUACUGCCUCACCUGAAAUCACACCCCCAUUCUGCACGCUCAGCCUGGUGGAGAAGGUGCACAUGGUGGGUAACAUGAGGAGUGUGCAGCCCAACCUUUGGCUUGUGUGCAGGCGGCCCCUGAGCGCCCCCCCCCCCGACAUUCAGACAGGCCAGCUCGUCCACAGAAACGUCGUCCCCAAGUACCCUCGCCUGCUGGGCUCCGUCUGUGUGGUUGACAGCUCCAAGGGUUUUCUCAUCUUCCUUAACAAUAGUAAAUACAACACAAGGAGCCGGCGCAGCAACAACCCAGAGACACAACAGCAGGUUCCUCUUCCUCCUAAGGCAAGAUGGGUUGUCAAUGGCACGUUUGCCAUUCCUGCCAUCUCCUCUGGCCUGGCCCCUGGGGGCAGCCGUGUCUUUAAACCAGAUGCAGAUGGGUCAGAACCAGUGCCCUGCCCUUGGCUCGGGAGCAAUACCCUGCCUGGUGGAUUGGUCACUUGACAGGCCAGGCUUGUUUCUAUGCCCGUCUAACGGGAGGGGGGAAAGCAGCCAGGGAAACCCAACCCCAAAGAGCUCAGCUUCUGCCAGCCUUUGCCAUUGCCAGACAGAAUCCAAACGCUGCUCCAAAGACACUAGCCCCCCCGGCCCCCAACCUCCCCCUCGAAUUCCACUCCCAGGAGAAUCUGGUCAGACCAGCAGCUGGUGGGGAAAUCAAAGAGGGAUGGAAGAUAAAGCGACCAGCCAAGUUUUGACCUUCUAGCCUCCCGUGACGAGCGGCCGCACCCCAGCGCAGGCCCAGGAUUCUCGCUUGCAGGAAGGGAAAGAAAGGAAGAAAGAAGAGAAAUCAUAGCAUAUUCUUACUGACGAUGUAUGUGUAGGGAAAGCGGGGGCUGGUUUUGCUGCUGUCAUGGAUUUCCUGAUGAUCUGAUCCCAGUCUCACCAGCAGGAACACAGCUGUGGUCAUGUG